AUACGUAGGGAGCGAGCGUUGUCCGGAAUUACUGGGUGUAAAGGGAGCGUAGGCGGGACUGCAAGUCAGAUGUGAAAUGCCGGGGCUUAACCCCGGAGCUGCAUUUGAAACUGUGGUUCUUGAGUGAAGUAGAGGCAAGCGGAAUUCCUGGUGUAGCGGUGAAAUGCGUAGAUAUCAGGAGGAACACCGGUGGCGAAGGCGGCUUGCUGGGCUUUUACUGACGCUGAGGCUCGAAAGCGUGGGUAGCAAACAGGAUUAGAUACCCUGGUAGUCCACGCUGUAAACGAUGAUUACUAGGUGUGGGGGGACUGACCCCUUCCGUGCCGCAGUUAACACAAUAAGUAAUCCACCUGGGGAGUACGGCCGCAAGGUUGAAACUCAAAUGAAUUGACGGGG
rnacentral:rRNA from 1 species